AAAACGACUCUCGGCAACGGAUAUCUCGGCUCUCGCAUCGAUGAAGAACGUAGCGAAAUGCGAUACUUGGUGUGAAUUGCAGAAUCCCGUGAACCAUCGAGUCUUUGAACGCAAGUUGCGCCCGAAGCCUUUAGGCCGAGGGCACGCCUGCCUGGGCGUCACA
rnacentral:rRNA from 31 species